AAAUAUCGGGUCAAGUCGACCUGCUCCAUGUGCAUUUGAGAUUUUUUUUUUUUUUUGAAUGAUUUUGGUUAUGAUUGAACAUAUUUAGGGGAAGUCUAUUUGUGUGGGAUGUCGUCCCGGGAGGAGGUGCCAGAUGACCCUGAAGAGGUCGUGCCCAACCCGGAAUCCAUAAAGGUGCUCAAGCGGGUGGCUCGGGCCGUCUCGAGUCACCUAGCGGAGGGCAAGGCGGGCGUGAAGGCCGAGCAAGCCUGCUUCUUGCCAUGCACCGAGGAUGAGGUCCCUGUGAUCGGGGAGCUACCGGGCUUGGAAGGUUGCUAUGUGGCGACAGGCCACAGUUGCUGGGGCAUCCUCAACGGGCCCGCUACUGGGGCUGCGGUGGCGGAGCUUGUGCUCGAAGGGCGGGCUCAGACCGUGGACCUGACUCGGUUCAGCCCUGCACGAUUUGUACUCUCUAGGAAGAGAUGAAAUGUGGCAUUCAGAAAUAUAAAUUGUGUUUGUUUUCUAUCAAGUCGAGGAUUUUCUCCUUUUUUUUUAACGUGAUUUUCUAAAUGAAGGUUUUAAUACAAGCAUGUGGUCACGUGUCUGUGGUUGUGGCAAUGCCCUUUUACUCGCAGGUCAGUUACGGAGGUGGAGGUGAUUUUAAGAUGAUGCAUGCUGUACUGAUAAUGAAGGGUUGUAGUUUUUGGGACCUAUAACAUGCCUCUCUACUUAAAUCAAUUUCCACACCACAGGUUUUAGUCAAUACCCACUUCUUGUUAGGAGUAAGUGUUGAAGAUCUAUUUUUUGGCUACUCAGGAGCUUUUGAAGUUUAGAGAGAGGGAGAGAGAGAGAGACUAUGCUUUUCUAUGCAAGUUCAAGAUUUUAGGUAUGUUGUUGGCACUUUUACGUGAUCUAGUUGCGAUAGCUUAGGGCUUUAGAGCUUCAACUACUACCACCAUAGCCUGCGCUUUCUUGAAGUAUUUCUAGCUACAAAUGUGUUUUUUUGGGGGGCUAACUUCACAAGUGAGUGCGAGACUGCUAACUGGUACUUUUGAAUGAGAGGUUGCUGAUUAGCUUUCCCUUGGUCUUUGUUGUCUGGUAUUGUCCUACAAGCGGCUGUGGUCAAAUGUUGUUUAAACUUUGGUAGAGAACAUCUCUUGGCUAUUGACUUUUGCAAGUAUAAUUCAAUUUUCCAUUACAGAAAAGUAAUCAGGUUGUCUAGUUUUACCCUAAUAUGCUGCAAUCUCUGCCUUCCAGUAAAGCUGCCCGAGUUGCUGGCUCGUGUGAACAUUGAAGAGGACACCUUGACGCGGUUGCAGCAGAAACUGCUCGACUUUCUCAAGUACUGAUUCAUACCUGUCUUUUCAACGGUGAUCUCCACAUCUUUUUGAAUGCUUCAUCAAUUUGAUAUUUACUCAAGAUCCAUUAUUUUAACUCAGCUAUUCUACUUGCAACUUGUAAGGAUGUACCUCUAAGAUCAGCUUCUGUAUCAUGCUUCAAAAUGCAGAUUCCUCCAGAAGAACCAAAGUACCUUCUUCCUUUCUGCAUAUGAAGCGUCCAAAGCUUCGGAAGGAAAAGGGAAGAGGGAAGAUGAGGGAGCCUAGCCUAGCCGGAGCGUCCACUGCUCCGUUUCCGGCAAUUUCCAAUUCAUUAGGGGACGCUGUCGGCUAACGAUUCUGAUGUCGUGGAAUUCUCUGCCCAUUAAAAGCCGGAAGAAUUCCUUUUGCUGUGUUGUUGUAACAUUAGCAUUGACUAGUUCAUUCUUUCUUUAUGAUCCGUUUCCCCUCGUAGUGAAGGGGGUGAUAGUUGGUAAAUUACCUUUAUACGGUUCGAUUCGGCGCGGUUCUUACGCUGACGAUUGUUUCUCAGACAAGACCAACUGUCGGGUAUUUCGAUUCAUCCAGACUCACUAUUGUACUCGACAAGAACCUCAAGACCUAGAGGGUCGAUAGCAAACACAUUUUAUCUCAAUAAGUCCUACUUUCUGAACGAUCUUUCUUGUGUAUUACUUUGUUCCCUCGACCCUUAUUUCGCUUCGCAUCAUUUUACAUCUUCAAAUUGGUGUACAUGAGUAUACUACAAGCUGCCGGUAAAUUCAUAUUCAAUACAUCGGUGAAUGCACUUAUUUUGUGCAACAAUUGUAAAAAGAAUUAGGGGUUAACAUGAUUAAAGGCAUGCAAAACAGAUCGCCGGAAUCAAAAACCAUCGAGAUUAGUCUAGUUUCUGGAUUGUUAGUCCAAUUCCUGGUUCUAAAGGGAACUGGUUUGGACCAACUGAACAUACUUUUUGUUUUAUUAUUUCUGUAAAAGAUUUAGUAAAAUGUAAACUAAAUAUUAUCUCGGUUUGAUUCCAAGUAGUGAGGAAAAGAAGUAAUGGGAAAAAAAUAGUUAGAAAUAAUAAGCGACUAUUUCAUUGGACCAAACCAAAAUCAAACUAGAUUAAUCGGUUCAAUCCCAAUUCUCAAUUUUGGAAACUGGAACAAAAACACAUCACUCCUAAAUAUGACAAAUAAUGUUUAACUAAUAUAUUUGUGACAAAUUUACUCUCAUGAAAAAUUUUAAAUUAAUAUACAUGUGAUAAAUUUAUCAUAUGUUAAUUUUCGUUAAAUUUUACCAUUAAAUUAUGACACCCUUCUUUAAGGUUUACCCUCAAUUUAAUUUGUGAUAUUUUAUAAUAUUAAUCUAAUUUAAUAAAAACUAAUGAAAGUAAAUUUAUCAUGAAUCUAUCAAUUUUGGAUUUUUUAUGCUAUUAACAAAAAAAAAAACAAAGAAAAAUGGGUUACGGCACUCUCAAACUCUCCUCAAUCAAAACAAUAAAAAAAGAAAAAAAAUCCCAAAUGGGCCUAACAAAAAAAAAGGCCCUAACGACACGUGUCAUCUUCCAAGCACACAACGCCCCCCAAGACAAUUUAGAUUAGCAUCGAUUCCCCAAUAAUGUCGACGACCGCCUCCUCGCCGUCGUCCCCCGCACUCGCGCUCCUCCGCCCAAGCCCAAGCCCAAGAGCUUCCUUCCCCGCCCGAUCUCCAUCCUCCGUCGCUGUCGCCGUCGCCCCCCGCUCCUCCAUGGAAACCCCUCCUCCCCCUCCCCGGCGGGAUCCGCCGAGGCGCGUUGUCGUCUGCGGCGGCGGCGUCAUCGGCGUCUGCACCGCCUACUUCCUCUCCAAGUCCGCCGGCGCCGCCGCCUCCGUCGCCCUCGUCGAGCAGUCCUCCGUCGCCUGCGCCGCCUCCGGGAAGGCCGGCGGCUUCCUCGCCCUCGACUGGUGCGACGGCGGGCCCCUCGGCCCCCUCGCCCGCGCCAGCUUUGACCUCCACCGCGCGCUCGCCGCGGAGCUCGACGGGCCCCGGGCCUACGGCUACCGCGCCCUCACCACCCUCAGCCUCACCGUGAAGGAAUCGGAGUCGGGCUCCGGGUCGGGCCAGCAGCCGAAGCGUGGGGGCCCGCGGGACGCCGUCCUGCCCGACUGGGUCGACGGGCCGGGCCGGGCCGCGAGGGCGAUCGGGUCGACGGCCACCACGGCCCAGGUCCAUCCCCGGCUCUUCACCCGGGCCCUGCUGGACAAGGCCGUGAGGGAUUAUGGGCUCGAGGUGGUGAUCGGGAAGGCAGUCAGGGUCGACGCGGGCAGCGGUGGCGGCAGCGGGAGGGUGUCGGCAGUGGUGCUGGAGGGAGGGAGGGUCAUGGAGGCGGACGCGGUGGUGCUGGCGCUCGGGCCGUGGUCCGGCAAGUUCGGGCUCCUGUCAUCGCUGUUCAGGGUGUAUGGGCUCAAGGCCCACAGCAUUGUCUUGGAGCCGAGAGAGCCCGGCGCGAUAGGCCCGGAAGCUCUGUUCCUGAGCUUCCUGCCCUCCGGCGGCGGCCCGGCCAUGGACCCGGAAGUCUACCCUCGCCCCACUGGUAUGUAACCAUGUUGUAAUCUUUUUUGUUUUUUUUCCCUUUUAAUUAUUGUAUGUAUUAUUAUUUUUUAAUUAAUUGUUAAUUAUGAUCAUUAAAACAUUGGUUUUUAGGAUGAAUUAUUUGAAUGGCUGUCAUAUGUACUGUCACAUGUCUAGGAAGCAAUUACUAGUUUCUGCUAGCUUUGGCUUGCCUACGUGUCUACUGUCUUAGCAACAGAAGAUGGGGCUUAUUUCUUUUGUAGUUUCCAUCCAAUGAAGUUUCUAAAUUUAGCAAUGCCUAGUUCUUUUCAAUUACAUGUUUAGCUGAAUUAUAAUGUGGCCAAAGUACAAGCAUUGAUUCACUGAAAUGGAAGGUUUCUCUCUCUUCCUGUGUAGCUUGAAAUUGAGCUACCAAAGUAGCUUGCAUCUUCCAAUUGAUGUGUCAAUUGUGGGGUUGAUUGAUUUUUUCUUUUCUUUACCUGGAAAAAAAAUCGGGUCGAGUCGACCCGUCCAUGUGCAUUUGAGAUUUUUUUUUUUUUUUUUGAAUGAUUUUGGUUAUGAUUGAACAUAUUUAGGGGAAGUAUAUUUGUGUGGGAUGUCGUCCCAGGAGGAGGUGCCGGAUGACCCUGAAGAGGUCGCACCCAACCCAGAAUCCAUAACAGUGCUGAAGCGGGUGGCUUGGGCCGUGUCGAGCCACCUAGCGGAGGGCGAGGCGGGCGUGAAGGCUGAGCAAGCCUGCUUCUUGCCGUGCACCGAGGACGAGGUCCCCGUGAUCGGGGAGCUACCAGGCUUGGAAGGUUGCUACGUGGCGACGGGCCACAGUUGCUGGGGCAUCCUCAACGGGCCCGCUACUGGUGCUGCGGUGGCGGAGCUCGUGCUCGAAGGGCGGGCUCAGACCGUGGACCUGACUCGGUUCAGCCCUGCACGAUUUGUACUCUCUAGGAAGAGAUGAAAUGUGGCAUUCAGAAAUAUAAAUUGUGUUUGUUUUCUAUCAAGUCGAGGAU
rnacentral:lncRNA from 1 species